rnacentral:rRNA from 1 species
AAAAUAUAUAUAGUUUGAUUUUUUAAAAUUUAUAAAUUAAAUAAAGUAAUAUAAAAAUUGAAAGUUAAAGUAACAAUUAGGAAUAAAUUUUUUUAAUAUUAAAGAUAGUAAUGAAAAUGAAUAAUUUAUAAAGAUAAAAAAGUAGAUUUAAUUAAUUGUACCUUUUGUAUCAGGGUUGAUUAAAUAAAAUAUUUUAAUAAAAAUAUAUCUCGAAUUUAAAAUAUUUAAUUAAAAAUUUUAGUUAAUGUGGAAAAAUUAUUAAUAAUUUUUAAUUAGAAGUGAAAUGUUAAUCGAUUUUAAAGAUAUCUAGUUUUUUUAGAAUUAAAUAUAAUUUAGCUUUUAAUUUAUAUUUUUAAAUUUAUUGAUUUAAAUAUAAUAUUAAGAAGUAAAUAUUUUUGGGAUAAACUAAGAAUAUAUUAAAUAAUAAAAUUUAUUUUUAAGUUAUAAAUAUUCAUAAAAUUUGAAUUUUUUAAAAAAAAUGUUAUAAUUUAUAAUUAAAUAAUUUAAAUUUAUAAUUUUAUUUUUAUUGGUAUAAAAAAAAAUUAUUUAAUUAUUAAAUAAUGGAUAUAAUGAUUAAAUUAGUAAAUUUGUUUAUGUAACAUUAAUUUUAUAAUUAAAAAUUAUUUUAAGGAACUCGACAAAAAUUUUAUUAAUUUAAUUAAAUUAUUAAUUUAAUUAAAUUAAUAAAUUUAUAUUCACCUGUUUAUCAAAAACAUGUCUUGUUGUUUAUAAUAAUAAGUCUAUUCUGCCCAUUGAUUUAAAUUAAAAGGCUGCAGUAUACUGACUGUACAAAGGUAGCAUAAUCAAUUGUUUUUUAAUUGAAAACUGGAAUGAACGAAUUGAUGAAAUAUAAUUUGUCUCAGAAUAAUAGAAUUGAAUUUAAAUUAAGAGUAAAAAUGCUUUUAUUUAAUUAUUAGACGAUAAGACCCUAUAGAAUUUUAUAAAAUUUAUUUAUUAAAGAUUAUAUGUAUUAAAAUAUUUAAUAAAUAAUUAUAUUUUAUUGGGAGGAUAUUUAAAUUUAUAGAACUUUAAGAAUGCAUAAACAUUAAUUAAUGAGUAUUUGAUUAUUAUUAUAAUUAUUAGAAUAAAUUACCUUAGGGAUAACAGCGUAAUAAUUUUGGAGAGUUCAUAUCGAUAAAAUUGAUUGCGACCUCGAUGUUGAAUUAUGAUAAAAAUUAAAUGGAGAGAUUUAAAAUUUUAGUCUGUUCGACUAUUAAAAUCAUACAUGAUUUGAGUUCAGAUCGGUGCAAGCCAGAUCGGUUUCUAUCUAUAAUCAUACAAUUAUUUUAUUGUACGAAAGGACUUAAAAUAAUAAAUAAUUUAUUAUAUUAAUUAAAAUUUUAAUUAAUAAUAUUGAAUAAAAUUAAUAUC